rnacentral:rRNA from 1 species
ACUCCUACGGGAGGCAGCAGUCGAGAAUAGUCUACAAUGGUCGGAAGACUGAUAGUGCGACGCCGCGUGAACGAUGAAUCCCUUCGGGGUGUAAAGUUCUUUUAUAUGUGAGCAGUGCUUCUUAUAUUAAGAGUAUGGGGAGAGAGAUAUUAGCAUAUGAAUAAGCAACGGCUAACUCCGUGCCAGCAGCCGCGGUAACACGGGGGUUGCGAGCGUUGUCCGGAAUUACUAGGCGUAAAGGGCAGGCAGGCGGAUCCAUAAGUUUAUCGUUUAAGGCGUCGGCUUAACCGGCGUAGGGCGGUAGAUACUGUGGAUCUGGAAUGCGGUUGGGGAAGACAGAAUUCCUGGUGUAGCGGUGGAAUGCGCAGAGAUCAGGAGGAAUACCGAAGGCGAAGGCAGUCUUCCAAGCCGUUAUUGACGCUCAACUGCGAAGGUGUGGGUAUCAAACAGGAUUAGAUACCCUGGUAGUC